rnacentral:rRNA from 1 species
GCAAGGGGGGGGCCUAACACAUGCAAGUCGAACGGACCUUUCGGGGUUAGUGGCGGACGGGUGAGUAACACGUGGGAACGUGCCUUUUGGUUCGGAAUAGCUCCUGGAAACGGGUGGUAAUGCCGAAUGUGCCCUUUGGGGGAAAGAUUUAUCGCCAUUAGAGCGGCCCGCGUCUGAUUAGCUAGUUGGUGAGGUAAAGGCUCACCAAGGCGACGAUCAGUAGCUGGUCUGAGAGGAUGACCAGCCACAUUGGGACUGAGACACGGCCCAAACUCCUACGGGAGGCAGCAGUGGGGAAUCUUGCGCAAUGGGCGAAAGCCUGACGCAGCCAUGCCGCGUGAAUGAUGAAGGUCUUAGGAUUGUAAAAUUCUUUCACCGGGGACGAUAAUGACGGUACCCGGAGAAGAAGCCCCGGCUAACUUCGUGCCAGCAGCCGCGGUAAUACGAAGGGGGCUAGCGUUGCUCGGAAUUACUGGGCGUAAAGGGAGCGUAGGCGGACAUUUAAGUCAGGGGUGAAAUCCCAGAGCUCAACUCUGGAACUGCCUUUGAUACUGGGUGUCUUGAGUGUGAUAGAGGUAAGUGGAACUCCGAGUGUAGAGGUGAAAUUCGUAGAUAUUCGGAAGAACACCAGUGGCGAAGGCGACUUACUGGAUCAUUACUGACGCUGAGGCUCGAAAGCGUGGGGAGCAAACAGGAUUAGAUACCCUGGUAGUCCACGCCGUAAACGAUGAUUGCUAGUUGUCGGGGAUGUUUACAUCUCGGUGACGCAUCUAACGCAUUAAGCAAAUCCGCCUGGGGGAGUACGGUCGCAGAUUAAAACUCAAGGAAAUUGACGGGGGCCCGCACAAGCGGUGGGAGCAUGUGGCUUUAAUUCGAAAGCAACGCCGCAGAACCCUUAUCACCGUUUGACAUGCCUGGGACCGCCAGAGAGAUCUGGCUUUCUCUUCGAAGACUGGGAACACAGUUGCUGCAUGACUGUCGUCAGCCUCGUGUCAUGAAAAUGCUCGGGUUUAAGAUCCCGUCUAACGGAGCGCAGCCAUCGCCAUUACAUUGCAUCGAUUAGGCCGGACUCGUAAUGGACUUGUCCAGU